UUUUUAAUAAAUUAUUUUAAUUUUUCUGAGAGUUGUCUCGUUCCUCACAUUUUUGGGAGUGUGAUUGGUUUUUCCAUGUGCAGGAACUUGCCUUGUUUGCAUUGUUCUGUGGCACUGCUGACUUGUGCUCCAGAAGAGAAAGUGAACAUCCAGUUGUGUGUGAUAUGUGGGUGCUUUAAGGAUGGGAGGAGCCAAGUAAAUUGUCUUUUUCUCUGAGAUCCUAGUGGCUUCUGCAUUUCUGUCUGGAAGAGGAGCUGAAUAAAUUGGGAUUUGGAAAGGCUGUGCAGGCACUUGGAGAAGGGAAGGGAAGAGACAUGAAGGCUUCCUUGGACACAAACAGCUUUUGAGCUUGGUGGAGAAUGUGCUGGAGGGCAAAACCAAGAGCCUCCUCUCUGCGUGUUUCUCAAGUGUCUUCUGGCUUCCCCCAGAAAGGGAAAUGCCACGCUCAGGCGCUUCCCUCUACAUCAAGAGCGAUCUGAAGACACCUACAGGGCAGAUGGAG